AAAAAACAACAUUCGAGUGGACACUCCCUCACGGAAAACUACUAUUAUCAUUUCGAGGUCAAUCGCUAAUUGUGAACACUUUC
ensembl:ncRNA D2045.10 ncRNA